UUUUAAAUGCUAACCUCAUUUCUUCCUCUGCUAACUCUCUUCUUAUCCUUUUGAACAUCCAGACUUUCUUCAGACAAAAUAUUGAAACUUGGUGUAGAGGAUCGUGGAGUAGGAGACUUAUCCUUGAAAAGAUAACAGAAUGUAAAAUUAUAAAAAGGAUACUAAUCAUUUUUGUAAGACUUUUAGAGAUAUAAAUUACUGUUCUUUUGACGAUUCUUCAACUAAUUCAUCACCAACAUCACGUUGGGUGUUUUCAUCAUCACCCGGAUAGCUCCCAUACUGUGUGUUUGGCUCUCGGAUUGAAUCUUCAAAUGAUUCAUUGUCAUUC
rnacentral:sRNA from 1 species